UCUUUAGUAGCUUAAACCAGUAGAGCGCAGCGUUGAAGGUGCUGAGGUGUGCAAGCAGCACCGAAAGAG
rnacentral:tRNA from 1 species